AAGAAACACUGAGUCUUUCCUAUGUUUAUCUGACAGCCCAGAAGCUGCUGCUUCCUGACAGCGCACACUUCAAAAAACAACGCGAAGGAAUUGAAAACUCAAGUGGGAGGGGCAUUGACAACCAUUCAGGUUGUUUGAAACAGAGUGAAUAGAAUGGCACUGUGCCUUAAUAGCCAUUGAUAGACCUGGAGAAUGGCAUUUCCAGGCACACCGUGAGGAGGGCCGGGGAGAUAACUCAGCGGCAUCUGGCUGGUACCAUGGUUUCUUGGCAACGGCGUACACAGAACACGUAGCUGGGACAACCCCGGUGGAAGUCGGCUGACGUCACCGGAAGUGUCGCCCCGCAAGCCUCGGCAGACGGAAGCGCACACCGGACCCGGCUCUCCCGCGUUGUGGUGUCUCCUGCCUAUUUAGCUAAAUUGCAUCUAUAUUGUCGUUUUGUGUAUGUUUUAUUGCCUGCCUUGAAAGCAGUGCUUGUGGCACCGAAACGUCGUUCAGA